AGCGAACGCUGGCGGCAGGCCUAACACAUGCAAGUCGAACGGAUCCUUCGGGAUUAGUGGCGGACGGGUGAGUAACACGUGGGAACGUGCCCUUUGGUUCGGAACAACUCAGGGAAACUUGAGCUAAUACCGGAUGUGCCCUUCGGGGGAAAGAUUUAUCGCCAUUGGAGCGGCCCGCGUCUGAUUAGCUAGUUGGUGAGGUAACGGCCCACCAAGGCGACGAUCAGUAGCUGGUCUGAGAGGAUGAUCAGCCACACUGGGACUGAGACACGGCCCAGACUCCUACGGGAAGCAGCAGUGGGGAAUCUUGUGCAAUGGGCGAAAGCCUGACGCAGCCAUGCCGCGUGAAUGAUGAAGGUCUUAGGAUUGUAAAAUUCUUUCAGCGGGGACGAUAAUGACGGUACCCGCAGAAGAAGCUCCGGCUAACUUCGUG
rnacentral:rRNA from 1 species